rnacentral:rRNA from 1 species
GACGAGGUGCACAAACGUUAUUCGGAAUUACUGGGCUUAAAGCGUGCGUAGGCGGCCUAGCAAGUCGGGUGUGAAAGACCUCGGCUCAACCGAGGAAUUGCGCCCGAAACUGCUGGGCUUGAGAGAGACAGAGGUGAGCGGAACUGAUGGUGGAGCGGUGAAAUGCGUUGAUAUCAUCAGGAACACCGGUGGCGAAGGCGGCUCACUGGGUCUCUACUGACGCUGAGGUACGAAAGCCAGGGUAGCGAACGGG